rnacentral:lncRNA from 1 species
UAACUGACGAUGAAGUUUGACGAUUUAUCUAUGACCUGCCAUCUAGUUGGAACUCACGAUAGAGAGACUGAAUCACACGUGAACUACAUCUGGAGGUUCUUUUUUUGUUCUACUGGAUUGCCACUACAUAGUGCUAGGUGUCACUGGUGGAUUGUGAGAGCUUACUAGGGUUGUUCAGGAUCGACAAUCCUUGAUGAGUUAGAGUAAAAUUAUUCCGAUCCAUUGAAAAAAGUUUCAAUGAUACUAUGAUAGAGAUCAUUAUAUAUCUCACUACC